UGGUACUUGCCCGAUCAACUGAAGGAUAUUGCCCCAACCGAUUCUUUCACGUGAUGAAGUUCUUUGUUUGUGCUGUUCUUCUGAUGGCUUGCUUUGCUGACUUCUCGGAUGCCUGUUGUUGUCAAAACAGUCACACCUCCUCCCAUCACAGUCGACACGGCAUCCCUAUGCCCAUCCCCUACCCCGUGGGCGGAGGCAGCAGCAGCGGCAGCAGUCAUACCAACUUCCUUCCCAUCAUCCUCACCACAGCCGGCUGAUGAAAUCGCAGUGAGCAGUGAUGGCCUCCUAGCACACGUCACAUGUUCGCCAUUGAGUGUAUGUCAAUAAACUCAAUAGGUGCACUC